AGUGUGUGUUGGUGGGGUGUGCGACGCAGGAAAGGGGAGGAGAGGGGAAAACCCUUCUUCUCCAAAUCAUCAAGAACUUAUCAAUUGGAGGCGUUUAUGGAUGAAAUUCGUAUGCAUGUGAUCGAUUUCUCAAUCAUCUAAGGGUUUCCAACAUGGGGGAACGUGUCAAGGAGAGGUCAAGCAUAGGAGGAUAACGGGUCAAGAUAAGGCAAGGUGACAAAUACACUUAUUGGAGUACUCGAGGUAAGUGAAUUUCGAUUCACUUUUUAGUAGGUUUAAUAGAUUUUAAUACUUAUGUUUAUGAAACAUCAUGAAAGAACAUGUAAUAAUCAGAAGUACAAAGCUAAUAAUGCCUCAUUAUUGAAGAAGGUUAUUAUUUAAGCCGAAAGUAAAUUGGUGGGCUUAAACGGGUCGAAUUUUAUGUGCAUGUGUUGCGUAAUGUAAUGAAAUUCGUUAUGGUUAAGACCUUGGGUAAGAAUUUUUAGUCAUUUAUGUAAGGGGAACAUUUUCCGGACCAUUAGGAACAAGUUUUAUAUGAUUCGGUUGUGUAUGGGUCAAGAUAUGGUAGUUUUAAUGUUUAAAAUGGAAGUUGAGCUGGGCACUACCGUAGCUUACGGUAGCCACCGUAAGUUACGGUGGGUUCUGAAGUCUUUCUGGCCACCGUAAGGCAGUAGCACUUCACCGUAAGGGUUUAUGGCCACCGUAAGCUACGGUAGCCACCGUAGCUUACGGUGGAGCUGUCGCGCCCCGCGUAAUAGUAAGCUAUGGCUUACGCGGUCCGCGAGGGACCGUGCUGUUGGCUUUUUGCUGAAAUUGUGAUGUUUUGAGUAUGGGACUUGUCUAAAAAUGAUUUUUCUAAGGCCACAUACGUUAUGUUAAGGAUGGUUUCGUAUAUCAAUGAUGUUAAAGGUUGUCGGUUAGUGAAUGAACGGAUUAUUUCGUGUUAGUGUAGGAAAUUUUAUAAGUAUAUGUGUAUAGGAAUCCAAAAGGCACGUGGGUUGAAUCAUAGAUUGUCUAUACUAUGUAAGGUUGUGAAUGUGUCAUUCCGGCAUAAACCUACAUGUAAGAAAUGGUAAAAGAAGCUUGUGUAUAUAUUCGUGAUUAAUUGAUUGUGCGUAGGAAGGAACAUUGGCAUGUAUGAAGGUACGCAUGUAUAUAUAUAUAAGUAUAUAUAUAUAUAUGUAUGUAUGUAUGAUAAUAAGUACGUAGGUGUGAAUGUAUGUGUGAAUGAAUGUUCAAUGCUUAAGACAUAUGCAUGAACGUUAUCAAAGUGUUCGAGUAUUUAUGGUUACUAAUGAUGUGCGUUGAGUUGGAAUGUAAUGUAGGUAUGGGAUUGUUGGCUUCAUGAAGAAAUGGAGCUGGAUUUGGAUAAGAGUAUCGCUUGGGUUUUCUCUACAUUUAUUGAAGUGAAGCGGACUUAGUUCGAGUUGAGAGCAAGGAUUGUACGGGGUAGAAUGGUCACAUAGUGUAACUCAUAUAGGUUUUGAAGUAUUAAUGUCAUAAAACGUUAUAAAUCCGUUUUAAUGAAUAUAUGGCAUUUCGCAUUUGAACCUUCAUGUGUUUGAUAUGUCUAUUAAAGAACGAAAUUUUUU